rnacentral:rRNA from 1 species
UACGUAGGUGGCAAGCGUUGUCCGGAUUUACUGGGCGUAAAGAGCGCGCAGGCGGCUGGGUCAGUCCGAUGUGAAAGCUCCCGGCUUAACUGGGAAAUUGCAUCGGAAACUGCUCAGCUUGAAGGUGGGAGAGGGUAGCGGAAUUCCCGGUGUAGUGGUGAAAUGCGUAGAUAUCGGGAGGAACACCAGUGGCGAAGGCGGCUACCUGGCCCAUUCUUGACGCUGAGGCGCGAAAGCUAGGGGAGCAAAC